GACCCCUCCUCCUAUUUUUCAAGGAGACUUUUCCAAUUUAUUUAAUUCCGAGUAGAAAUGUCUGGAAAAAUUCAUGUCUUUGAUGUACUUUAUAAUCUUCGAACUCUUCGGAAUUUCACUCCCACUCCGCAAUUCAGGGACCCUAGAUUUCAAAAUUUUCCCCGGGGGUGCAUGCCCCCGGACCCUCCUAGACGGUCUCACGCCUUCGGCGUGAGGUUCGCCCUCCCCCCCAAAAAAAUUAAGGUCUGGCUACGCCACUGCUUAUAGCUGUACGAUUAUAGCUACAAAGAGUUGAAGUUAUUGUUUAUUUAGGUGAAGUUAAUAAAUUAAAGUUUUACAAAAUCUCCUUUCAGACUCGCGCGUUCGCCAAAC
rnacentral:lncRNA from 1 species